CAGCCGCCGCGGUAAUACCGGCGGCCCGAGUGGCGGUCACUAUUAUUGGGCUUAAAGCGUCCGUAGCCGGGUUGGGAAGUCCUCCGGGAAAUCUGGCCGCUUAACGGUCAGAAUGCCGGAGGAUACUCCCAGCCUAGGGAGCGGGAGAGGCCGAGGGGAUUCCCGGAGUAGGGGGGAAAUCCUAUAAUCCCGGGAGGACCACCUGUGGCGAAGGCGCUCGGCUGGAACGCGUCCGACGGUGAGGGACGAAGGCCAGGGGAGCAAACCGGAUUAGAUACCCGGGUAGUCCUGGCUGUAAACGAUGCGGACUUUGUGUCGGACAAGCUAUGAGCUUGUCCGGUGCCGGAGGGAAACCGUUAAGUCCGCCGCCUGGGGAGUACGGCCGCAAGGCUGAAACUUAAAGGGAUUGGCGGG
rnacentral:rRNA from 1 species